AUCCUAGUGCAAGGGUCUUACACGAAUCAAUGAGGAUUUUCCGAGAUCGUGUUUGCUAGUCAAACCCAUUGACUACUUCAAGUGAGCUUAAUCGCUUGGGAAUUUUUGAAGCUACCUCUCUCGAGU
rfam:Penicillium freii strain DAOM 242723 scaffold_149, whole genome shotgun sequence.